ACUCCUUACGUCGUUAUAUGUUUAAGCUUUAAAUGGCUAUGCUGGCUGUGGGACAAUCUUAACGCAAUCUACGAAGCGUUAUCGCAUUAGCUUUUGUAACCGUUAGGCAGACAAGACCAAAAUGUUGAACAGGAGUGUAUGCAUUGCUUUGUGUUUGUACGUUUCCGGUUGUCUGUCGUUUUACACGACUUGCAAAGAUGGCUGAAUUCCGUUUACGGGCUCCUGUUACCUAUUUAAUUUCGAAGAAAUGCCAUUUCCACAAGCUGAGCAAUUUUGUAGAAUACACGAAAACAGUCAUCUUGUUCACGUUGACGGUGACACAGAAAACCAGUUUUUGAAAGACCGAAUAGUAC